rnacentral:rRNA from 1 species
CCUACGGGUGGCAGCAGUGGGGAAUAUUGGGCAAUGGGCGCAAGCCUGACCCAGCAACGCCGCGUGAAGGAAGAAGGCUUUCGGGUUGUAAACUUCUUUUCUCAGGGACGAAGAAAGUGACGGUACCUGAGGAAUAAGCCACGGCCAACUACGUGCCAGCAGCCGCGGUAAUACGGAGGUGGCAAGCGUUAGCCGGAUUUACGGGGUGUAAAGGGCGUGUAGGCGGGACUGCAAGUCAGAUGUGAAAACCACGGGCUCAACCUGUGGCCUGCAGUUGAAACUGUAGUUCUUGAGUACUGACGAGGCAGAUGGAAUUCCUGGUGUAGCGGUGAAAUGCGUAGAUAUUAGGAGGAACACCAGUGGCGAAGGCGGUCUGCUGGGCAGCAACUGACGCUGAGGCGCGAAAGCGUGGGGAGCAAACAGGAUUAGAUACCCUUGUAGUC